rnacentral:tRNA from 1 species
GGAAUAGUAGCAAAGUUGAUCAAUGCAGCAGAUUGAAGGUCUGACAAAACAGGUUCGAUUCCUGUCUAUUCCG